GCUGUCUGGUCCAGAGACUUCCCUAGAGUGAAGAGCUCUACUAUGUACGCUUUAUGCGGCAGAGGGAGUGCUUUGGAGUUUUUAAAUUUCUGGUUUUUUAAAUGUUAUCCCAUCAGUUUUAAUUGUAGCAAUGAUUCAAGAAACGUUAGUAGAUGCCCAUAACUUCGGUGGUGGAGAUCCAAAAGUGAACAAGACAGUGUUCUGGCUGCUAAGUUCUUCUUAACUGGUUACGCCUGGAGACCUUCACUUGGUUCUAUGCCAGCACUGCCCAUGAACUUCAUAGACUGUGAUCUUUGCUAAGGCCUAAAUGAAUGAAGAGUCUGAUGCUCAGCUGUCUGAAACCUAUUCCUGUAAUGAAAAUUAUGGGCUCACAUAUCCAGCAUUGUUUCUCAAAUAGAACUAGAAAUAAUAGCCUAAGAAAUAUACCAUCAGCUGGAACUGGAAAGAAUUGUGAUACUUGAAGAGACUUAGCACUUGGUGGACUAUGAUUUUCUAUCAAUCAAGUCAAGCACUGCUACCAAGUCUUCACUACAGAGUGCACCGGAAAGAAUGAUCCAACAGUAAAAUGCUUUACGAACUAUCCAUAUGGAAACUAUUGGCAAUAACACAUCCUGGCAUAUGGC